rnacentral:rRNA from 1 species
UCGCUGAUUCCUCCUUUCUGAAGAACUGUAAUGUCAUUAAUUUGGUGUUGCAGGGAAACAGGACUGUUACUUUGAAAAAAUUAGAGUGUUUAAAGCAGGCUAACGCUUGAAUACAUUAGCAUGGAAUAAUGAAAUAGGACGUUCGAUCCUAUUUUGUUGGUUUCUAGGAUUGACGUAAUGAUUAAUAGGGAUAGUUGGGGGCAUUAGUAUUCAAUUGUCAGAGGUGAAAUUCUUGGAUUUAUUGAAGACUAACUACUGCGAAAGCAUUUGCCAAGGAUGUUUUCAUUAAUCAAGAACGAAAGUUAGGGGAUCGAAGACGAUCAGAUACCGUCGUAGUCUUAACCAUAAACUAUGCCGACUAGGGAUCGGAUGAUGUUAAUUUUUUAAUGACUCAUUCGGCGCCUUACG